rnacentral:lncRNA from 1 species
CGCAGGGGGCUUCAAUUCGAUCUGUUGUUCCAUUUCUUUCUUUCUUCUUUGUUUUUUUUUUUUUUUAGAUGGAAACUCUGUUGCUCACACUGGAGUACAAUGGUGCUAUCUCAGCUCACUGCAAUCUCCGCCUCCUGGGUUCAAAUGAUUCUCCUGCCUCAGCCUCCCGAGUAGCUGAGAUUACAGACCUGCACUGGAAGAAAAGCAAAGUAUGCUCUUCAAGAUGAAAGGAAAUUACAUAAGAGAGAAACUUGGACCUCUAAGAAAGAAUAUAGAACAUCAGUAAUGGUCUUUGAACCCUUGUGCAGUUUGGGAUACAGCGCACACCAGAGAACCCUAUUGUGAAGUGCACAUGCAAAGGGUCUAAGUUGCACACUCCUUAUGAGAAUCUAAUGUCUGAUGAUAUGUCACUGUCUCCCAACACCCCCGAGAAAACUGUCUAGCUGCAGGAAAACAAGCUCAGGGCUCCCACUGAAUCUACAUUACGGUUUCUUCUCUCGUGAUUUCAACCAUUCUGGAUGUGUCACAAGUCAACCUGCCCUUCGUCUUAGAUUUGGCCUCGUCUACAACGCUGUGCCACUGCUUGGAGCACCCACAAAGAGGAUGCUCAUUUGGUGGGUGCUAGAGUGAAUGCUUUUGUCCCCCCAGAUAUUCAUAUGUUGAAUCCUGAUUUCAAGGUGAUAAGAUUAGACGGUGGAACUUUGGGAGGUGGUGUGGUCAUAAGGGUAGAGCCCUCACAAAUGAGGUUAGUGCCAUUAUCAAAAAGAGCCCAGAGAGCUGCCUUGCCCUUUCCACCAUGGGAAGACAUGGGAGACGAUGGCCCUCUAUGAACCAGGAAUGAGCCCUCACCAGACCCUGAAUCUGCCAGCACCUUGACCUUGGAUUUCCCAGCCUUCAGAACUGUGAGAAGUAAACUUCUGUUGUUUAUAAAUUUCCUUAUUCUGUUACAGCAUCCACAAUGGGCAAAGAUAGUGGAUAUAUUCAAGCUAGACUUUUUUGGUUG